GUUUGGCCUGCUUACGUCGGACCACCAAGCUGUGCUCUGGAGUCAUAAGGCCAAUCUAGGAAAAGACUGAAAUGUGAAGUCAGAUGCUGGCAUGCUUCAGUACCAUACGUCUGCUCAGUCUUUGGAGAGAAAUGCGAGUGUGUGGGUGGCAAAAGAAACAACAGCCAAAGCUAAUGUGGAAUGGUGGGCAGCAGAACUUCAGAGAAGUAACACAAGAACAUGGUGAUGGAGAAAGAAUACCUGUGCAGGAAAGGAAGCAAGAAAAGAGUGAAGAUGUGGGGAGACUGGAAAACAAUAUAGGUUAUUAUUGCUGAUGUUAAGAACUGGUGCUUGGAUUGAUGGAAGCAGUUUCAUUUCUAUUA